CACCCUUUUGCAGUUUUGUUUUGAGGAUUGGGAACUUGCACCCCAUUUUAUGGCGUAAAAAAAGUUGGAAAAGACUUUGUAUUUUCCAAAACAGUGUAGGGGGAGAGAACAUAUUAAAAAACUCUCAGGUUUUUCGCACAGGGCCCUCCCUUACCCCAACUCAAAACUUUUAGUGUGCAAUCCACGCUGGUCCAGUUGCGCCUUUUGCUUUGAAUGCCCCAGAUCCCCUCCCUGGGAUCCCCUGAGCCUUUGCAGAGCGAAAGAUGGAUUUGCGGCUUGUGCAUUUCCUUUGCUCCAGCUCGCUUCCGAUGACAGUUUUGGAAAGCCCUGUCAGGAGUUUCUGGUCAGACGCUUCACGCUUUUGGAGUGGAGAAGCGCCUUUUUCUCAGUGGCUCUCAAGCGCACCCAAGGCUGUGGCCCAGAGCUGGAUGACAUCCCUGUAGACCCUUGGAGAGGCUGACGAACACCCGACGUGAACCCGCCUCGGUUUCCUCCAGCCUUCAUCACAAGCUCCUUUGUUGCCUCUGUUACGAAACCCGGACGCCUUUGGGCAGUGACCGUUGUGUUCUUGUGUACUUGGCACUGGAGGGAGGCUGGGCAAGAAAAUUUGUGGUUGAAAGCCAAGCCAGUGGGAGGGUGUGCUGCGAAAAAAAGUUUCAAUCCAGAAGCCUUGAAGUUUGUUUGCACCUGAAGGUUGUAGCUGUGACUCCUCCAAGGGCUGAAAUAUUCUCCCAGAUGCAGGUGCGCUCCUGGAUUGCUGGCCCGUCUGCCACCUGUUUUCUGGGCUUCGUCUUCUGGGUACAGUUGUUGCCGAAAAGCUGGAGGGAUGAGUUUCUGGAGAAUGAAAAAGGAGAACGAGAAGGAAGAGCAGCUGGACUUUGUUUUCUGCUAGGAAAAGUCAUGCCUUGAUGGCUCGGUUAAGGAAAGAGGUAAACGAGGCAUCUGUGGACAGGGAAUCGGGCAGGAUGACUUACAGCGAAUUCAGUUUUUGAAAGAUGUUUGCUUUCUGGGACUGAAUGGGACUAGAAAGAAAAAAACAGGAGUCUGAAUGAACAUCAACGCCUCUGUCUUAGCAAACGCAUGACUCCCCGUCUCACGGACGAGGGAAAAGGACGUUGCCUGCCGACAGGUUCCCCUCUGCGUUCCGGAUCGUGUCAAAAGACCUCUUGUUUCGGAAGGGGUUGUUCCAAGUAAGACCAGACUAUGUACACCUUUCUGCCUGAGAACUUCACUCCGGUGAAGCCAAAACCACCCAAAGAGUUGAAACCCAUGAUCGUGGCCAUCCUGGUCGGCCUCAUCCUCUUCAUCGCAGCGGUGGUCGCCUGGUGCUAUUACGUCGCCUCCCUCCGUAAGGCCGAGAGGCUCAAGACGGAACAGAUGGACCUGCGGCAGGAUGGGUUCACCAUCAAAAACCAGGACGGAGAGUUGGUCUUCAGGCUGGCUUUCCAGUCGGGGGUCCUUGAUUUGGAGUCUUGCUCGAGGGAGGGCGCCAAUUUGACCUGCACUCGGACGGACCGAGGGAAACUCAAUUUCUUCAUAAAGAUUGUCACCCCCAAGGACACGGUGAUGUGCUACCGGGUCCGAUGGGAAGAGUUCGUAGCGGACACGGUGGUGGAGCACAAAAUGUAUUGGGGGGAUGCUCACUGGUACGGGGGCUGUGAGAUGAGCGUCCAGCACUGGCCGAUUCAGCUGCCUGGGUCCCAGGAGCCCAUGCCUUUCGUGACCAGCGAUGUGUAUUCUUUCAGGAACAGCUUUGGGGGCAUCUUGGAGAGAUACUGGAUCUCUUCCAAAGCCGCCGCCAUCAAGAUCAACGACUCCGUGCCCUUCCACCUCGGCUUCAACGCCAGCGAAAGGUCCCUCACCUUCCAAGCCAGAUAUAAAGAUUCGCCCUAUAAGCCUCCCUUAGGCAAGCAGCCUUUCCCCGAACUGAGUUACCGGGUCUGUAUCGGCUCCGAUAUCACCUCCAUCCACAAAUACAUGGUGCGGAGAUACUUCUACAAGCCUUCUAAGAUCCCUUCGAAAAACGCGUUCCGGUAUCCCAUUUGGUCGACCUGGGCUUUGUACAAGAACGAUAUCGACCAGGAUAAGCUGCUGCGCUUUGCCGAAAAGAUAAAGAAGUAUAAAUUCAAUUGCAGCCAUAUUGAAAUAGACGAUGCCUACACGCAGGCCUAUGGGGAUUUCGACUUCGACCCGGUCAAAUUCCCCAAUGUGACGGAAACGUUUGAGAAGCUGAAAGAAGACGGCUUUGAGAUCACUCUUUGGACCCACCCCUUCGUCAACUACAACUCCUCAAACUUCGGGGUGGGCAUCGAGAGGCAGCUUUUCAUCAAGGAGCCAACGGGAAGGCUCCCCGCUAUGGUGGAGUGGUGGAACGGCAUUGGCGCCAUCUUGGACUUCACCAACCCUGCCGCCAGGGACUGGUUUCAGAGCCACCUGAGGCAAUUUCGCAGCCGCUAUGGCAUCUCGUCCUUCAAGUUUGACGCGGGAGAAACCAGCUACCUUCCCAAACAGUUCAGCACCUUCCGCCCGUUGUCGGACCCCAGCGUUUGGUCCAGGCGCUACACAGAGAUGGCCAUCCCUUUUUACGAGCUGGCCGAGGUCCGGGUGGGCUACCAGUCCCAAAACAUCUCUUGCUUCUUCCGGAUCAUCGACCGGGAUUCGGUUUGGGGUUACGAACUCGGAUUGAAGUCCUUGAUCCCCACUGUCUUGACCAUCAGCAUGCUGGGAUACCCUUUCAUCUCGGCAGACAUGAUUGGUGGAAACAUCUUCCCCAACAAAACAGACGGCGCCGUCGAGAUCCCAGACCGAGAACUCUACAUCCGUUGGCUGGAAUUGUCGGCCUUUAUGCCCUCCAUGCAGUUCUCUAUCCCACCUUGGCUUUACGGUAAAGAGGUGAUCGAUAUCGCCCUGAAGUUCACGCAACUCCACGAGUCUUUGGUGGCCCCCCUCUUGUUGGAGUUGGCCGGGGAGAUCACAGACACCGGGGACCCCAUCAUACGGCCCAUCUGGUGGAUUUCUCCCAACGACGAGGCGACGCACAAGAUAGAUUCCCAGUUCCUGAUUGGGGACACGCUGAUGGUGGCUCCCGUUUUGGAGAUGGGCAAGCAAGAGCGAGACAUUUACAUCCCGGCUGGCAAAUGGCGGAGCUAUAAGGGGGAACUCUUUGAAAAGACCCCCACCUUGGUGACUGACUAUCCAGUGGAUUUGGAUGAAGUUGCUUAUUUCAUCUGGGUGUCGUAACGGACUUCCUCCACCCCGCCACCACCAGCAAGCUUUCAUCCUUGGUGAAAGUUAACCAUGCCUUAUUCUAGGAUCCUAAGAGCAAAGGAGACGGAAGGAGAACAUGGGGAAUGAUUGUGUGUGGGAUAGGCAACCUGGUGUACUCCGGGUGGUUUGGAUUACAACUCCCCUAAGCUCCCAGUCUUCAUGCUGGGGGAUGAUGGAGGUGGUUGUCCAAAGCAUUUGGGAGGGGACCAGGUUGUCUAACCCCCAACUGCACCAUAAUCCUCUAAGUAUGCUACAAAGAUAUAGCUUUGAGAGAGAGAGAGAGAGAGUGAGAGAGAGAGAGAAAGG